GACGAACGCUGGCGGCGCGCCUAACACAUGCAAGUCGAACGAGCGAGAGAGAGCUUGCUUUCUCAAGCGAGUGGCGAACGGGUGAGUAACGCGUGAGGAACCUGCCUCAAAGAGGGGGACAACAGUUGGAAACGGCUGGUAAUACCGCAUAAGACCACAGCACCGCAUGGUGCAGGGGUAAAAGAUUUAUCGGUGUGAGAUGGAUCCGCGUCUGAUUAGCCAGUUGGCGGGGUAACGGCCCACCAAAGCGACGAUCAGUAGCCGGCCUGAGAGGGUGAACGGCCACAUUGGGACUGAGACACGGCCCAA
rnacentral:rRNA from 1 species